rnacentral:rRNA from 1 species
UACGAAGGGGGCUAGCGUUGCUCGGAAUCACUGGGCGUAAAGCGCACGUAGGCGGAUUGCUAAGUCAGGGGUGAAAUCCUGGAGCUCAACUCCAGAACUGCCUUUGAUACUGGCGAUCUUGAGUCCGGGAGAGGUGAGUGGAACUGCGAGUGUAGAGGUGAAAUUCGUAGAUAUUCGCAAGAACACCAGUGGCGAAGGCGGCUCACUGGCCCGGUACUGACGCUGAGGUGCGAAAGCGUGGGGAGCGAGCAGG